UACGUAGGGGGCAAGCGUUGUCCGGAUUUAUUGGGCGUAAAGAGCGUGUAGGCGGCCAAGCAGGUCCGCUGUGAAAACUCGAGGCUCAACCUCGAGAGGUCGGUGGAAACCGUUUGGCUAGAGUCCGGAAGAGGAGAGUGGAAUUCCCGGUGUAGCGGUGAAAUGCGCAGAUAUCGGGAAGAACACCCGUGGCGAAGGCGGCUCUCUGGGACGGUACUGACGCUGAGACGCGAAAGCGUGGGGAGCGAACGAGGA
rnacentral:rRNA from 1 species